GUAACUCCUAGUUGAGUGUGAAGACCUGAGGUAUCAGGGGUAGGGGUUGCUCUGCUUGUGUAAGUCCCAUAGUGUGAAGGCCAGAGAACCAAGAGAUGGUCAAGAAGAGAGAGUAAGUGUCCAAUGUCCCAGCUCAAGAAGAGAGACAAGACCAACCCCGCCUCUUCCUUCUCCUUCUCGACCUACUCAAAGUAAAGAUGAGGAUGAAGACCCUUAAGAUGAUCCACUCCCACUUAAUGAAUAAAACUUUUGUGGAUAGCUAAGUUACUGCUAGCCAUCUGAUUAUAGCAAUGGCUUCCAGGAGCAUCACGACCUGUGCAGACUCCCCAGCAUCAUAACAGGAAGGUCCCACGAUCACGAGCACAUUGCCUUCAGCAUCCAGCACUGAAUAUGGUGAAUUGCACUCUGAAGAGCUUCCUAAGCUUGUAAGAAAGUGAUUCUGAAAAGCUCAACAUUUUGGUAGAAUGGAGAGAUUUGACAUUGCUUCUGCUCCAAAAGCAAAAGACUUGGCCCAGAAGCUAAAAAUCACCUGCCAUCUUGGAAAUAAUCCCUGGAGGAUCAAGUCCAAGGGGGAGAAGUGGACUGGUCACCCCAGCCGAGGUUAUCUAAGUUCCAUGGCUUACUCCAGACAGGAAGCCCCACAUCCUGCAGCCUCAUUCAUAAUCCAUAAUAGAUGGUGUUCUUGGAUCCCAAGUUGAGAAAAGAAGUUAACUAUGCACAUUUUGGCAAAGAUGCAGACCAGGGUUUGAUCUAAGCAGCUAUCACAUAAAAUAAUAAAGUACAAAUGGAAAUGGCAAAAAUGUGCCCAUAUCACAGUGCAGAGUGUGCCAAAGCUGACCGAAAAAUUAUGCAUUUUUCAUGUUUCAAUAAACGUACUUAACUGGC
rnacentral:lncRNA from 1 species